UCCUACGGGAGGCAGCAGUAGGGAAUCUUCCGCAAUGGACGAAAGUCUGACGGAGCAACGCCGCGUGAGUGAUGAAGGCUUUCGGGUCGUAAAACUCUGUUGUUAGGGAAGAACAAGUGCUAGUUGAAUAAGCUGGCACCUUGACGGUACCUAACCAGAAAGCCACGGCUAACUACGUGCCAGCAGCCGCGGUAAUACGUAGGUGGCAAGCGUUAUCCGGAAUUAUUGGGCGUAAAGCGCGCGCAGGUGGUUUCUUAAGUCUGAUGUGAAAGCCCACGGCUCAACCGUGGAGGGUCAUUGGAAACUGGGAGACUUGAGUGCAGAAGAGGAAAGUGGAAUUCCAUGUGUAGCGGUGAAAUGCGUAGAGAUAUGGAGGAACACCAGUGGCGAAGGCGACUUUCUGGUCUGCAACUGACACUGAGGCGCGAAAGCGUGGGGAGCAAACAGGAUUAGAUACCCUGGUAGUCCACGCCGUAAACGAUGAGUGCUAAGUGUUAGAGGGUUUCCGCCCUUUAGUGCUGAAGUUAACGCAUUAAGCACUCCGCCUGGGGAGUACGGCCGCAAGGCUGAAACUCAAAGGAA
rnacentral:rRNA from 1 species